AACGUACGCUGGCGGCACGCCUAACACAUGCAAGUCGAACGAAGUAGCAAUACUUAGUGGCAGACGGGUGAGUAACAUGUAGGUAUCUGCCCUUUGGCCUGGAAUAACACGAGGAAACUUGUGCUAGUACCGGAUAAGUCUUUACGGAGAAAGCUUUAUGCACCAUUGGAUGAGCCUGCACUUGAUUAGUUUGUUGGUGGGGUAAUGGCCUACCAAGACUGUGAUCAAUAGCUGAUUUGAGAGGAUGAUCAGCCACAUUGGGACUGAGACACGGCCCAAACUCCUACGGGAGGCAGCAGUGGGGAAUCUUGCACAAUGGAGGAAACUCUGAUGCAGCGAUGCCGCGUGAGUGAAGAAGGCCCUUGGGUUGUAAAGCUCUUUCGUCGGGGAAGAAAAUGACUGUACCCGAAUAAGAAGGUCCGGCUAACUUCGUGCCAGCAGCCGCGGUAAUACGAAGGGACCUAGCGUAGUUCGGAAUUACUGGGCUUAAAGAGUUCGUAGGUGGUUGAAAAAGUUAGUGGUGAAAUCCCAGAGCUUAACUCUGGAACUGCCAUUAAAACUUUUCAGCUAGAGUAUGAUAGAGGAAAGCAGAAUUUCUAGUGUAGAGGUGAAAUUCGUAGAUAUUAGAAAGAAUACCAAUUGCGAAGGCAGCUUUCUGGAUCAUUACUGACACUGAGGAACGAAAGCAUGGGUAGCGAAGAGGAUUAGAUACCCUCGUAGUCCAUGCCGUAAACGAUGUGUGUUAGACGUUGGAAAUUUAUUUUCAGUGUCGCAGGGAAACCGAUAAACACACCGCCUGGGGAGUACGACCGCAAGGUUAAAACUCAAAUGAAUUGACGGGGACCCGCACAAGUAGUGGAGCAUGUGGUUUAAUUCGAAGAUACGCGCAGAACCUUACCAACACUUGACAUGUUCGUCGCGACUCUAAGAGAUUAGAGUUUUCGGUUCGGCCGGACGAAACACAGGUGCUGCAUGGCUGUCGUCAGCUCGUGUCGUGAGAUGUUGGGUUAAGUCCCGCAACGAGCGCAACCCUCACUUUUAGUUGCCAUCAUUAAGUUGGGCACUCUGAAAGAACUGCCAGUGAUAAGCUGGAGGAAGGUGGGGAUGACGUCAAGUCCUCAUGGCCCUUACGUGUUGGGCUACACACGUGCUACAAUGGUAUCUACAACAGGAAGCAAGACUGCGAAGUUAAGCAAAUCCCUAAAAGAUACCUCAGUUCGGAUUGCACUCUGCAACUCGAGUGCAUGAAGCUGGAAUUACUAGUAAUCGUGGAUCAGCGUGCCACGGUGAAUGCGUUCCCGGGUCU
rnacentral:rRNA from 1 species